GGAUCAAUUUAUUGGUCGUGCUAUUGUACGUACUGGUAUUAUUGAUUCCUACCUUCUGACGAACCAUGAUGUCAUUAGUUUGGUGUCUUGGGGAAUCAGGACUGUUACUUUGAAAAAAUUAGAGUGUUUAAAGCAGGCUCACGUUUGAAUACAUUAGCAUGGAAUAACGAAAUAGGACGUUCGAUUCUAUUUUGUUGGUUUCUAGAGUCGCCGUA
rnacentral:rRNA from 1 species